AGUGCACUAAGCCUAGCUAAGACACCGCCACUGACAACCUAUAUAAGAAUGCAAAACUCUUCUCAACUUUACCCCUCAAUUGCACUUCCUAUGUUGGUUGUGAUUUCUCAAUAAGCGGUUCUUGUUCGUUUUCUGUGGUACUAUUGUUCUUUAUUUUCUCUUCUUCUUUCCCAAUUGCUGGGUUCUUUCUUUCUGCUGCUGCUUCUUCUUCUCAAAUCAGAAGAUGCGGAAAGGCGAAGGCCUCCGGUGCUCAACUGAAAGAACUGGCUGUCUUCACUGUCUUAUCCUCUUUUGAGUGAAGAUACACAGCAACACCAAAGUGAUGCCUCCAACUUCAAAUGGGUUCUUGGAAUCGACCCUGACGUCUCUGGCGCUGUGGCGCUCUUGAAAACUCAACAUUCUCAUUCUGAUUAUGCGCCUCAGUCUCAUUUUGAGAUUCUUCAUCAAUCUCAACUCAAGGGAGAUGCGAGUUGGUGGAAUACAUGUUCACUGCAAGGAAUUGUGAGACUUCCCCUGGGAUGAUCAUAUCCAAACUCUUCCUCAACUUCACUCAACUCUUAGAAUGAAAGCUUGGUUCAAAUAUGAAAUGGGAAUCACAUAACACUUUUGAUUAUGUCUGACAUACACUGCAAGAUAACCCUUUGGGACUUGUACGGAUUUUGAAAUUGCUUGCUUAGCUGAGAAUGAUGCCUUUCCCCAUUUUUCUUGCGUAUGUAAGGAAUGGAAAGAGCAAGGGAAAGCUCUAGUGCUUAAGAAGAAAGUGUUCAAGUAUUGAUCUUCAGAUUGCCAGGGAGUUGUGUUGUGUUGUUUCUUAAGCAAGAGUCAUGCAUAUGAAAUCAUGUGAUGCUGUUUUAGAGUAUCAAACAAUGGCCAAUAAUAGAUCAUAGCCUCCUACCUGAUGCUAUCAACUUAUCAAGUAUCAAUCAAAACACUGAACUUUUCAUCCAGAAGCUUUAAUUCUUUUUACUCUACAGGAACCUUUCAAUGUGGAGCUAACAAGCUCUGCACCGACAUGCUCGUACGUUACUCCAAAUUUCUUUUACAAGAGGAACCAUGGCCCAAUUCCCAUCGUUGAAGAUAUUGAAAGGUACUCUGUUUUGGUGGAAAAGCUCAAACAGCUUUUCAUGAAAGAUAUCAGGUUAGUGCACGGAUUGAUUCUAUGAAUUUGUCAAAUAGGAAUUGGUUACUGACCUGGUUAUUCUCGUGCAUUUUUUUUUUGCGUUUUUUGCUCGUUUCGCACGUGUGUUUUUAUUUUUGUGUUUUUCGCUCGUUUCGCACAUUUGCGUGUUUUUCGCUCGUUACGCACAUAUGUUUGUUUUUCGCCCGUUUCGCACGUCUGUGUGUUUUUCGCUCGUUUCGCACGUUUGUGUUUUUUUUUUUGGGUUUUUAGCUCGUUUCGCACGUAAGCUUGUUUUUCGAUCGUUUCGCACGUAUGUGUUUUUCGUUCGUUUCGUACGUGUGGUUUUUUGUGUUUUUCGCUCGUUUCGCACGUGUACGUGUGUGUGGUUCUUUUGUUGUUUUUCGCUAGUUUCACAAUGUGUAUUUUUCGCUCGUUUCGCAUGUGUUUGUGUGUGUUUUUUUUAUGUUUUUCGCCCGAUUCACAUGUGUGUGUUUUUCGUUCGUUUCGUACGUAUUUGUGUUUUUCGUUCGUCUCGCACGUGUAUUUUUCUUUCGUUUCGCAUGCAUGUGUGUUUGUGUAAUUUUUUCUCUUUUUGCACGUCUGCGUGUUUUCGCUCAUUUCACACGUGUAUGGGUUUUUUUGUGUUGUUCGCUCGUUUCGCACAAGAGUGCGUAUUUUUGUGUUCUUCACUCGUUUCGCACGCGCGUGUUUUUCUGUGGUUUUUCGCUCUUUUCGCACGUGUUUUUUUUUUAUUUUUUCGCUCUUUUUGCACGUGUGUAUUUUUCGCUUGUUUCGCAUGAUUGUUUUUAUUAUAUUUGUGUUUUUUACGCUCGUG